rnacentral:misc_RNA from 1 species
GAUGAAGAACGUAGCGAAAUGCGAUAAGUAAUGUGAAUUGCAGAAUUCAGUGAAUCAUCGAAUCUUUGAACGCACCUUGCGCCUUUGGUAUUCCGAAAGGCACACCUGUUUGAGCAUCAUGAAUACCUCAAUCUCCAUCUUUUCUUCGGAUUGAUGGGUGACUUGGAUGUUGAGCCCUGCUGGUAUGCUAUAUCAGCUGGCUUUAGACUUAUUAGCCGGCUCUGUACUGGAUCGGUUUGACUCGACGUGAUAAUAUUAUCGUUGAGGAUGCAUGUCUCAUGCAGCCGGAAAGUAUCAAAGCAGCUUCUAGCUUGCCUUUAGUGCACUUUUACAUUUUAGACCUCAGAUCAGGUGGGACUACCCGCUGAACUUAAGCAUAUCAAUAAGCGGAGGA